rnacentral:rRNA from 1 species
GAUGAACGCUGGCGGCGUGCUUAACACAUGCAAGUCGAACGAAGCAUUUGCGACAGAUUUUUGCGGAAUGAAGGUGCUCAUGACUGAGUGGCGGGAGGGUGAGGAACGCGUGGGUAACCUGCCUUGUACUGGGGGAUAGCAGCAGGAAACGGCUGGUAAUACCGCAUAAGCGCACAAGGUUGCAUGACAUGGUGGGAAAAGCUCCGGUGGUAUAAGAUGGACCCGCGUCGGAUUGGCCAGUUGGUGAGGUAACAGCGCACCAAGGCGACGAUCACUAGCCGACCUGAGAGGCUGACCGGCCACAUUGGGACUGCGACCCGGCCCAGACUCCUACGCGAGGCAGCAGUGGGGAAUAUUGCACAAUGGAGGAUACUCUGAUGCCGCCACGCCGCGUGAGUGAAGAAGUGAUUCGUUAUGUAAAGCUCUAUCAGCAGGGAAGAUAGUGACGGUACCUGACUAAGAAGCUCCGGCUAACUACGUG